rnacentral:rRNA from 1 species
GACGAACGCUGGCGGCGCGCUUAACACAUGCAAGUCGAACGGAAAGGCCUGCCUUCCCUUGUGGAUUGCGGGUACUCGAGUGGCGAACGGGUGGGUAACACGUGAGUGAUCUGCCCCCAACUUGGGUAUAAGCCUGGGAAACUGGGUCUAAUUCCCGAUAGGACUGCAGGGUGGUGCCUGUGGUGGAAAACGAUUUUCUAGUGGUUGGGGAUGAGCUCGCGGCCUAUCAGCUUGUUGGUGGGGUAAUGGCCUACCAAGGCGGCGACGGGUAGCCGGCCUGAGAGGGUGGACGGCCACAUUGGGACUGAGAUACGGCCCAGACUCCUACGGGAGGCAGCAGUGGGGAAUAUUGCACAAUGGGCGGAAGCCUGAUGCAGCGACGCCGCGUGGGGGAUGACGGCCUUCGGGUUGUAAACUCCUUUCGACCGCGAGGAAGCCACCUGGUUGGAAGGGUGGUGACGGUAGUGGUAGAAGAAGCACCGGCUAACUACGUG